UACGUAGGGGGCGAGCGUUGUCCGGAGUUACUGGGCGUAAAGCGCACGCAGGCGGUCUGCUAAGUUUGGAGUGACAGUUGGUGGCUUAACUGCCAAAGUGCUUCGAAAACUGACAGACUUGAGGGCUUCAGAGGGACACGGAAUUCCGGGUGGAGUGGUGAAAUGCGGCAGAUAUCAGGAGGAACACCGAUGGCGAAGGCAGGUCUCUGGGCCGAUACUGACGCUGAGGAGCGAAAGCGUGGGGAGCAAACAGG
rnacentral:rRNA from 1 species